AUGAGAACACUGGCAUGUAGUGCUUGGGGAAAGCUGUAUGCAAGGCAGUCAGAGAAAAACCCUUGUGUGCAGGGACUGCAUGGUACAAACUCCGCUGAGCAAAAGAAUGAAGAGUUGCUGAACAGCAGUCAAGAGACUAACCCAGGAAUAGCUGACGUGGAUACAUGUCUUGUCUCCACAUUUCAAGAAACAGACCUUCUUCUGACACCAAUGAAACUGGCCAAAGCCUAUCAACUACAAGUAUUGUGCUUAGCAUCCUCAAUUUGGAUGUUCAUUCAGCCAAAUUCUGAUUCUGUACCAGAGCCCUGUGGAGAAGGACCUGGGUGUGACAGUGGCCAACAGGUUGGCCAUGAGCCAGCAGUGUGUCCCUAUGGCCAAGAAGGGCAAAGUUACACACAGCCAGCUGUUUAA
rnacentral:lncRNA from 1 species